ensembl:lncRNA
CUCUGAAGCCCUGCCUUCCCUUUUCACAUUUGGCUGCAGUGUUUCCCCGAUUAAGGGCCAUGCACAGCCACAAACACAUUGCCCAGGUGGGACCUGAGUUCUAUCUACAAACUCCAGAGCCUGGAAUCACACUGCCCAAGAAGGAGUGAGAAGCCAUCCUACGUCUGUCCCUUGGCCAAGCAGAGUCACCGAGGGACAUGGCUGAGAGCAACGCUUGGGACAAGGUGUAUUGAUGUCCCUCUAUCAACCGCCAGCAAUGUGCUGCUGGAGGACCACGGAACUGCAGGCUGCCCUCUUCCAAACACUCAGAUAAUUGAUAACACGAUGAGUUCUGCGAAGCUGUGGUUGUAUCCUGGAUGGUUUCCAUGCUCUCUGCUGUUCUCACACAGGAUGAAGUGGACUGUGCUCUGAAACACCCUGUUCAGAAAAAGGGGGAAAUGCC